rnacentral:rRNA from 1 species
ACCGCUGGUGUACCAGUUGUUCUGCCAAGAGCAUCGCUGGGUAGCUAUGUAGGGAAGGGAUAAACGCUGAAAGCAUCUAAGUGUGAAGCCCACCUCAAGAUGAGAUUUCCCAUGAUUUUAUAUCAGUAAGAGCCCUGAGAGAUGAUCAGGUUGAUAGGUUAGAAGUGGAAGUGUGGUGACACAUGUAGCGGACUAAUACUAAUAGCUCGAGGACUUAUCCAAC